CACUUGUGUCAAAGUCAAGGCCCGGGGGCCGGAUCCGGCCCUCCAGUGAUGCGUUCAAAGACCCUCUCAGGAGGACUAACCAGUCGGUUAAACUGAUGUUGCUGCUGAGUCUUCUGGAGUCUGGAGGACGCCGCAGGUCAGAGACUCUCCCCAGAAGAAACUAAAGACGAAACCUUCAAACCGAUCUAAACCGGUUUCAGUGGAUGUUAAGUCUGGUCCUUUUCUCAGCUGAACAUCCUGUGGAUCAUUAGGCUCCCACCAGGUAAAGGUGACAACUUGUGCGAGUGACACGCUCCGCCGCUGACCUCUCUGCGCUUUGAAGCGAUAACAAACCUUGAUGUGUGGAGCCGAGUGAGAGGAGGAGAACCAAAGAGGAAAGCAGGAGGUGCUGAAAGGAGAAGCAGGGCCUCUGGGAGGAAAACCCACUUCUCCAGACUUCAGAAGACAUUCACAUUUUAACGUUUCUUUUAAUCUUCAUAACAUGUCAGCGUGUUUCAUCUGCUCUGGUGUGUACUGUAUUUGUCAUCACUUGUUCUUAAAUAUGGAAAACGUUCGACUGGAGAUGUAGUUUCUCUUCAGAUGGUUCCUGGAGUUCACUUCAGUGAUGUGUCCGUCAUCAGAGUUAACGUUCAAAGUGAUGAAACCCUGCUGAGCUUUACUUCACUGAAAUCUGACUCCACAUGAGCUUCAGGAUCAGUUUGACCUGAAAAAAUGACAAGAUUCCCUGAAAUAGAUCCAAACUAGCUGUGCCUCCAAGUUGUGCAAACUGGAUUUGUGAUUCUGUCUGAUAAAAACACGUCAAUUUUAAAAAAACAAACUCACAUUUAUAGAAAGAAUGUUUUUGAUCUUGAGAAGUUGGUUUUUUAAGCGUAUCGAAAUUGACAUUCAGCAAAACUGAAAUAGAACCUUUUUUGGAUCGAAUGAGUCACAUGACCCAAGUCCAGCUGUGCAGGACAUUGGCGGCUGCACAGCUUAUCGUGGUGUCUGGUAUCAACUGGAGCGUCCGGUAUCCACGGUGGAUACAGGAUCCAUGUGGAUUUGUUGGAUCCACAGCUCCUUUUUAAAAUCACCCAUCACGAUUUCCAAAACUCACGUCAUCCGUAGCCACUCCCACGUUGCUCGCCGCUCCGUGGCCUGAAUAUAAUACGACGUCUCCUUUGAUAGAAGAUGAUGAGCUCUAGUGAUGUGGCAGAAACUUGAAUGCAUCUACUUUAAUUCUAAACGACUUAUCGUGUUGGUUUAUGUUUAUUCAAAUAAUUAGGAUUUAAUGAAAACAUUGCAACUGCAAAACUGUUUUUUUUUUGCAUUUCUUAAAUUUUUUUGAACAUAUGUGUCAUGGGAAUGUAAUUAAUAAAAGAAACAGAAUUUAUUUUUCCAAACAGUUUACGUCCACAUCAGAAAACCAAGAUAAUGACCAAACAUACGCUCCAUGAAAUACAUCUUUUUAGGUUUCCCUCCAUAAGAAUUGAUCAUAAAUGUUCCUCUCUGCUCGUGUUCUGAUGAACUCCAUGGUUUCUACAGUCAAACGUAUAGAAAAUGGUUCUGUCCUUUCAUUUGUCCCGUUUGUCCCGCUCCAGACCAGAACCUGAGCGGUUGCUGACUUCCUGUGUGCAGCUGUGCUUUAGUGCUUGUUAAAUAAACAGGUUGGUGAGGUUACUCACUGUAAUAUUUCAGCAGCUCGAGCAUCUCAAUCAGAAGAAAAACGGAGGUCUGGGGUUCACAGUUGGUAAAUAAAACAGGUCUGGAGUUGAUCGAACGACGUACUGAGAUUCAUACGAUCUCUGUAGGUUUUAAAGGACUUUUAGAUUUCCAAUGAGCAGCAGGUUUACAGUCACACGAGUCGGCACAGAUUUCAUCAAAGUUUUUACACUCAUUACAAUUUUCUGGAGAUUUAAAAAGAUCAAACCACUUUAAUAAUCUUGAGAAAGUUCAAUGAGAGAAUAAAAAUGUAACCCAGUACCAUCAAGGCUGAAACACCGGCCCAUGCUUUUAUUGUGGUGGGGCCUAACUCCAUUUAAGUUCUAAGUUGAUGAAUGCACUUCCUGCUGCCGCCGCCACCAGGCCACCUCUCCUUCGAUACCCUUCGAUCUCCUCAUCGG